GUGAUUCGAACUAGAAACUUUCACAGAGGGAGAGAAUUAUAACUAAUGUAGGAUAAAAUUUUUUUCGGGAAAAAAAUUUUAUCAAUGGCUGCGUAUUUAUCGCUGAAGAGGAAAAAAUUCUUAUGAAUUAACCCCGAAAUUGGGACCAAUACGGUAAUAACGGAUUUUUUAGAAAUUUCUAUCGGUUUGUUUCGAGACGCAUAAAUUAUAAUGGUUAUUGUAAAUUAUAUAUAUAUAUAUAUAUAUAUAUAUAUGUGUGUGGGGGGGGUGUAUAUAUGUUUGUGUGUCUGCGUUUGUCACCCAACAUCGCUUGACAACCGAUGGUGGUGUGUUUACGUCUCCGUAACCUAGCGGUUCGGCAAGAGAGACCGAUAGGAUAAGUACUAGGCUUACAAAGAAUAAGUCCUGGGGUCGAUUUCUUCGACUAAUGGCAGUGCUCCGGCAUGGCUGCAGUCAAAUGACUGAAACAAGUAAAAGAGAUACCACUUGAAGACUUAUGGAUCCUUUUUCUUGAAGUUACAGUUUGGAACAUCAUAACAUAUGUAUAUCUUUGUCAUCAGUCAUAUCAAGAUAUCGUUGUUUUAUUUCGUAAAUCUGGGAAGAAUUUGUCCAGGUACCAUGUGAAAACUAAGGUAUCCUCUUCCUUGAAGUUACAUUUUGGAACAUCGUGAUACUUAGAAUAUCGUAACAUUGGAACAUUGUAACAUAUGUACUUCUUUGCAGUCAGUCAUAUCAGGAUACCGUCCUUUUGUUUAGUAAAUCUAGGAAAAAUUUGUCCAAGUACCAUUUGGAGACUUAUGGAUCAUCUUCUCCCUUGAUGAUUUGUAAGGCCCCGGUAUUUUGUUAUAAACCAUAAUAUUAUAUAAAGUAUUGGGUUGUCCGGAAAUUCGUGCCGAAAGUAGCUUACCUUUCGACUUAUUUUAGAACAUGGUUGAGUCCAUAAAAUAGGAUUUGACUACACCUCCAUUUAGAGCACAGUUUAAGAUAUAUUUUCGUGGAAGAAGGUUUAUGUUCCUAUAACCUGUGUUAAUUCUGUAACCUUUUAAAAUGGAAGAUAAGAAAGUUCAUUUUCGGCACUUGAUGCUUUCUUUUUCCGUAAAGGACAAAAUACCUCACAAAAAUAUGCGCAGUUUACGAUGAUAUUUCUUUAUCCGAAAGAACUGUACGGAAGUGGUUCGCAAGGUUCCAAGCUGGAGAUUGUAGCCUUAUUGAUAAAGGGCGAUCAGGCAUUCUAUCCACUACAGAUGAUGACCAAAUCAAGUCAUUAAUUGAGAAUAACCCACACUGCACAAUCCGAGAAUUGGCAGAAAGCCUCAACCUAUCAAAAUCCGUCGUUCAUGAGCACCUGGUAAAGCUUGGGUAAUGGCAAGUAUUUAUUGACCUUUUUCUUUCUUUUAAAAAUCGGCACGAAGUUUCCGGACAACCCAAUAUAUUAAACGUUUUUAUAAGUCAAUAUCAUGUUCUAUUGUGUUACCAAUGCGCUUUCCAUCCGAUGGGUGAUGAUGAAGGGGCCAAAAAUCCCGAAAUAUGUCAUAUAUGCCCAUUACCCAUUUUUCAUCUUUGAUCUCAUUGCUUGUUUACAUCUGACAUCUCGGAUACGAAGCGUCGUAACAAAACUUAGUGAUGGCUACAGUUUCUAUUGAAUAUCUAUACAGAUGACAUUACAAGUGAUUUUCUUCCUCGAAGUUACAUUUUGGGACAUCAUAACACAGGCAUGUAGGGACUUCUAAUCGUAUCCAGAUAUCGUCGCUUUGAAUGACGAAUCCUGGAAGAACUUUUCCAGGUGUCAUUUAAAGACUAAGGGAUCAUGUUCCUUGAUAUUUUGGAAUGCUGUUGAAUAGGGUUGCUUUAUAAUAAAAUUCUGCCGCAAUGAGGUUUUUCUUUCGGAGUUUCAUUUUUAGAAGGGCGGCUCAUACCUUAUCUCAGAUUUGCAUAGUUUUUAAAAUUCGAUGCUUACAUCAUUUUGGAUGGUCUAUAUAGCGAUGCAUAUUUUUUUUAAUUUACGCUUUGUUACUGAUAUCACUUGUGGUUACUGCUGCUGGUUUAAUUCAUCAUUUAUAGUUAAUCUUUAAAUUUUCUUAAUGAAUAUUGUGGUUUUCUCAUGGGGUCCUAAUUUUAUUUUUAUUUACGCAUUAUGUCGAGUAGAGAGUUUAGUUUCAGCAUAUAUUGGCAAUUAUAUACUAAAAUAUCCACCAAAUCAGUUUAGUGUAUGAAGAAGUGGGCGCGUGUAUGUAUGAUUUAUGUACAUGCGCAUGUGUUGUGUGUAUGUAUGUAAGUAUAUAUAUAUAUGUAUAUAUGCUGUAUGAAUGUAUGUUGUAUGUAUGUAUGUAUGUAUGUAUGUAUGUAUUUAUGUAUGUAUUUAUGUAUAUGUGCUGUAUGUAUGUAUGUAUGUGUAUGUAUGUAUGUAUGUAUGAAUGAAUCUAUUUAUGUAUGUUUGUAUGAAUGUAUGUAUGUAUGUGUCUAUGUAUGAAUGUAUGUAUAUGUGCUGUAUGAAUGUAUG
rnacentral:lncRNA from 1 species